CAGAGGGUGCGAGCGUUAAUCGGAAUUACUGGGCGUAAAGCGAGUGUAGGUGGCUCAUUAAGUCACAUGUGAAAAUCCCCCGGGCUUAACCUGGGAACUGCAUGUGAUACUGGUGGUGCUAGAAUAUGUGAGAGGGAAGUAGAAUUCCAGGUGUAGCGGUGAAAUGCGUAGAGAUCUGGAGGAAUACCGAUGGCGAAGGCAGCUUCCUGGCAUAAUAUUGACACUGAGAUUCGAAAGCGUGGGUAGCAAACAGGAUU
rnacentral:rRNA from 1 species